GGUCAAGUUAUUAAGGGUGCAGGGCGGAUGCCUUGGCACUAGGAGCCGAUGAAGGACGUGAUAAGCUGCGAUAAGCUUCGGGGAGUUGCACGUAAACUUUGAUCCGAAGAUUUCCGAAUGAGGAAACUCACUUAGAGUAAUGUCUAAGUAUCAUUAAGUGAAUACAUAGCUUAAUGAGGGGAACUCAGGGAACUGAAACAUCUAAGUACCUGAAGGAAGAGAAAGAAAUUCGAUUCCGUAAGUAGCGGCGAGCGAACGCGGAUUAGCCCAAACCAAUAAAGUUUUCUUUAUUGGGGUUGCGGACAUAUCAUAACGAAGAGGUAUCGUAAUUGAAGAGGUUUGGAAAGACCCACCACAGAAGGUAAUAGUCCUGUAUGUUAAACGAGAAGACUUUAGAUAUGAUCCAGAGUACCACGGGACACGUGAAACCCUGUGGGAAGCAGGAGGGACCACCCUCCAAGGCUAAAUACUACCUAGUGACCGAUAGCGUAUAGUACCGUGAGGGAAAGGUGAAAAGAACCCCGGGAGGGGAGUGAAAUAGAACCUGAAACCCUGCACUUACAAGCUGUGGAAGCACAUUUCUUGUGUGACCGCGUACUUUUUGUAGAACGGGCCAACGAGUUACGUUAAGUAGCAAGGUUAAGCACUUAAGGUGCGGAGCCGUAGCGAAAGCGAGUUUUAACUGAGCGUUCAGUUACUUGACGUAGACCCGAAACCGGGCGACCUACCCAUGAGCAGGAUGAAGCGAAAGUAAAAUUUCGUGGAGGUCCGAACCCACGAGCGUUGAAAAGCUCGGGGAUGACUUGUGGGUAGCGGUGAAAUUCCAAUCGAGCCCGGAGAUAGCUGGUUCUCCCCGAAAUAGCUUUAGGGCUAGCCUCAAGGUGAGAGAUACGGAGGUAGAGCACUGAAUGUCCUAGGGGGUAUUGCACCUACCGAAGACUAUCAAACUCCGAAUGCCGUCAUCUUAUACUUGGGAGUCAGACUGUGGGUGAUAAGAUUCAUAGUCGAAAGGGCAACAGCCCAGAUCGUCAGCUAAGGUCCCUAAAUGUAAGUUAAGUGGUAAAGGAUGUGGGAUUGCACAGACAACCAGGAUGUUGGCUUAGAAGCAGCCACUCAUUCAAAGAGUGCGUAAUAGCUCACUGGUCGAGUGAUCCUGCGCCGAAGAUUUCCGGGGCUAAAACUUACUACCGAAGCUACGGCAUCAGUAAUGAUGGGUAGGGGAGCUUCCCAUACGGGUUGAAGCAUGACCGUAAGGACAUGUGGACAGUAUGGGAGUGAGAAUGUUGGCAUGAGUAGCGAGAUGUGGGUGAGAAUCCCACAGGCCGUAAACCCAAGGUUUCCAGGGGAAGGUUCGUCCGCCCUGGGUUAGUCGGGACCUAAGCUGAGGCCGAAAGGCGUAGGUGAUGGACAACAGGUUGAUAUUCCUGUACUACCGAUAACCGUUUGAGAGAAGGGAUGACACAGUAGGAUAAGCUAAGCACACUGUUGGUUAUGUGUGCCCAAGCAUUGAGGCAGUCAAAGUAGGCAAAUCCGCUUUGAUAAUGCUGGGAUGUGAUGGGGAGCGAAAUUUAGUAGCGAAGUAGCUGAUUUCACACUGUCAAGAAAAGUCUCUAUCGAGGUUAAAGGUACCCGUACCGCAAACCGACACAGGUGGGUGAGGAGAGUAUCCUAAGGCCAGCGAGAGAACUGUUGUUAAGGAACUCGGCAAAAUGACCCCGUAACUUAGGGAUAAGGGGUGCCACCAUCAGGUGGCCGCAGAGAAUAGGCCCAAGCGACUGUUUACCAAAAACAUAGGUUUCUGCUAAGUCGCAAGACGAUGUAUAGGAGCUGACGCCUGCCCGGUGCUGGAAGGUUAAGGGGAUCUGUUAGAGCAAUCGAAGCAGUGAACUUAAGCCCCAGUAAACGGCGGCCGUAACUAUAACGGUCCUAAGGUAGCGAAAUUCCUUGUCGGGUAAGUUCCGACCCGCACGAAAGGCGUAACGAUUUGGGCACUGUCUCAACAACAGACUCGGUGAAAUUGUAAUUCCGGUGAAGAUGCCGGAUACCUGCGACAGGACGGAAAGACCCCAUGGAGCUUUACUGUAGCUUGACAUUGGGUCUUGGUACUACAUGUACAGGAUAGGUGGGAGGCUUUGAAACCAGGACGCCAGUUUUGGCGGAGCCAUCCUUGGGAUACCACCCUUGUAGUACUGGGACUCUAACCAUAGGCCAUGAAUCUGGUCUUGGGACACUGUCAGGUGGGCAGUUUGACUGGGGCGGUCGCCUCCCAAAAGGUAACGGAGGCGCUCAAAGGUUCUCUCAGUACGGUCGGAAAUCGUACGUAGAGUGUAAAGGCAAAAGAGAGCUUGAUUGCAAGACAUACAGGUCGAGCAAGGAUGAAAAUCGGACUUAGUGAUCCGGUGGUUCUGCGUGGAAGGGCCAUCGCUCAACGGAUAAAAGCUACCCUGGGGAUAACAGGCUUAUCUCCCCCAAGAGUCCACAUCGACGGGGAGGUUUGGCACCUCGAUGUCGGCUCAUCACAUCCUGGGGCUGUAGUAGGUCCCAAGGGUUGGGCUGUUCGCCCAUUAAAGUGGUACGCGAGCUGGGUUCAGAACGUCGUGAGACAGUUCGGUCCCUAUCCGUCGCAGGCGUAGGAAAUUUGAGAAGACCUGUCCUUAGUACGAGAGGACCG
rnacentral:rRNA from 1 species